rnacentral:rRNA from 1 species
AUACGGAGGAUCCGAGCGUUAUCCGGAUUUAUUGGGUUUAAAGGGAGCGUAGGUGGACAGUUAAGUCAGUUGUGAAAGUUUGCGGCUCAACCGUAAAAUUGCAGUUGAUACUGGCUGUCUUGAGUACAGUAGAGGUGGGCGGAAUUCGUGGUGUAGCGGUGUAAUGCUUAGAUAUCACGAAGAACUCCGAUUGCGAAGGCAGCUCACUGGACUGCAACUGACACUGAUGCUCGAAAGUGUGGGUAUCAAACAGGAUUAGAUACCCUGGUAGUCCACACAGUAAACGAUGAAUACUCGCUGUUUGCGAUAUACAGUAAGCGGCCAAGCGAAAGCAUUAAGUAUUCCACCUGGGGAGUACGCCGGCAACGGUGAAACUCAAAUGAAUUGACGGGG